rnacentral:rRNA from 1 species
GCGAACGGGUGAGUAACACGUGAGUAACCUGCCCUUGACUCUGGGAUAAGCCCGGGAAACUGGGUCUAAUACCGGAUAGGAACGCCUAUCGCAUGAUGGGUGUUGGAAAGAUUUUUCGGUCAUGGAUGGACUCGCGGCCUAUCAGCUUGUUGGUGAGGUAAUGGCUCACCAAGGCGACGACGGGUAGCCGGCCUGAGAGGGUGACCGGCCACACUGGGACUGAGACACGGCCCAGACUCCUACGGGAGGCAGCAGUGGGGAAUAUUGCACAAUGGGCGAAAGCCUGAUGCAGCGACGCCGCGUGAGGGAUGACGGCCUUCGGGUUGUAAACCUCUUUCAGUAGGGAAGAAGCGAAAGUGACGGUACCUGCAGAAGAAGCACCGGCUAACUACGUGCCAGCAGCCGCGGUAAUACGUAGGGUGCGAGCGUUAUCCGGAAUUAUUGGGCGUAAAGAGCUCGUAGGCGGUUUGUCACGUCUGUCGUGAAAGUCCGGGGCUUAACCCCGGAUCUGCGGUGGGUACGGGCAGACUAGAGUGCAGUAGGGGAGACUGGAAUUCCUGGUGUAGCGGUGGAAUGCGCAGAUAUCAUGAGGAACACCGAUGGCGAAGGCAGGUCUCUGGGCUGUAACUGACGCUGAGGAGCGAAAGCA